AGAUCCCAGCAUGCUGACUGAUGUCCAGCUGUUGUCUCUCGUCUCGAGCAAAACAAGCUUGUGAACUCAAACCACUCAAUCUCUCGGGUUUGGGCGUCAUGGUGAUCCCGUACACUGGGGUGUAAUCUGGUUCCCCGGCAUCAUCGGGCCACACAAACUGGAAGCGGCGUAACAGAGUGACCAUGACCAGGAAGAGCUCCAUACGUGCAAGACCCUCACCAAGACACACACGGGGACCUGUACACCAUAUAUUUGCAUAUAUACGAAUUACUACUACACUGUAAAAAA